GGAUCGAUUUCGAAUGGAUAUUGUGCGCUGCUUGCGUGAUGAAUCUAAUAAUGUUACUGCUGCACCAACAUCUUGAGUAUCUGCAGCUGUUACAGGACCCUGCGUGUCAGAUAGCCCCAAAUGAUUGCGAACACGUGGAUCAUUCAGGCACAAUUGAUGCAGAGUUGAUAGUACGGGGUUAACACAACUAAUUUAACACGUAAUUUUACAUGUUAAGACUACUUAGUUUUAAAACCCAAGAACUUAGAACACAGAAAAUGACGCUUGAAGGAUAUAAAUCUCAAGAACCUUAACAAUAGAAUUAUUACUAUUGAAGUUUAACAUAGCUUUACGCAAGACCAUUUGUUAAGUGCCUUCACUUAAUUAUGUCUCAUAAGCCCCCUUCACAAAUUGACGUCACCACCGUACACAAAUUUUUCAUCCCAUCUCUCCCAGUUUUCUCCCAACUAGAAGGAAAGAAAAAUAGUUACAACUUACGAUGGAAGUUUCUGUUCACGUGGAGGAUUUAUAUAUUUGAUGACUGAAUAUCAUAUCCCUCACAAACCUAAAUAGAAACAAAAUUCAUAAUAAGGAAAAAGUGUCAUAAACUAGAUUUCCCUGAUUACUAAGCUACACACACUUGCUUGGUUGCUUGCUUCAUUCAUCAUUUGCUUCUCGGCCCAUGCAACACCUCUUUUCUUUUCAAGCUGACUGGAAACAAAGACGCCAUUUUCUCUUCACUUGUCUGCCGCGUGCUACCCAUCUCUCACUCAAAUUUUGGUUUGCUUGCAAUUCAUUUACCAGAGAGGCAGAUAGAAUAAUCUUUUCAAAAUCAAAGUAAAAAGUUUAAAAUAAACGAAGAUGGUGAAAGCUAAUCAAAAUGUAGGCAGCAAUAGACAAUGCCAGACAAUGAUACAGAAAAGGUGGCAUAAUAAGAAUACAGUGACAUGUAUAACAGUUUCACCAACUUCAUAUUCUCUGUUAGUUCAUGUAAUAGUUUGACCCAUAUGAUACCACAACUGCAAAUACCAUAAUUUGGUAUUAUUAGUAUAUCUAAUCUCAGACUUCCAGAAAGUAACAAAUUUCUGUAAUUUACAUAUUUUUCUUCUUUUUUCUAAGUUCGUUCGUUCACGAUUCUGUAAUUGUUUUCUUUAUCCACUUUCCAUCUUCGCAAGAAACAAAGCACAAGGACAACAAUCAUACCAAGUAUUAUCCAACAUCAAGGCGGCAUUACAUUUGCAAAUAACACCCUUGAUAAUGAUGCUUAAUCAAAGAAGAUUUUCUCUUGAAUAGCAAAAUUGUCCCAAAGCUUUAGCAACAAGGAUGUAACUUGGAAUUAUGCUACAAAUUUCUCCAAUAUAUAUAAACCUAAAAAGAAAUCAAAGGACCAACCUGAAUGAGAGUUAAUGAACUAUUUGUAAGCCAAUAGACUGAACUCCCCUGCAAAAUUUAGGAAUGAAAAAAAGAUCCAUUAUUCUAUGACUGCGUAUCGAUGUAAAUCAUAACUGAAGACUCCACUGUUAAAGAGAGAAUCCAAAUGCAAGAAACUAAAAUAAAGAUGCAAACAAAAGGUUGCACAGUUGAAUCACUAAAAGCUCUCUCA
rnacentral:lncRNA from 1 species